GAUGAAGAACGCAGCGAAAUGCGAUAAGUAAUGUGAAUUGCAGAAUUCAGUGAAUCAUCGAAUCUUUGAACGCACAUUGCGCCCGCCAGUAUUCUGGCGGGCAUGCCUGUUCGAGCGUCAUUUCAACCAUCAAGCCCCCGGGCUUGUGUUGGGGACCUGCGGCUGCCGCAGGCCCUGAAAAGCAGUGGCGGGCUCGCUGUCACACCGAGCGUAGUAGCAUACAUCUCGCUCUGGGCGUGCUGCGGGUUCCGGCCGUUAAACCACCUUUUAACCCAAGGUUGACCUCGGAUCAGGUAGGAAGACCCGCUGAACUUAAGCAUAUCAAUAAGCGGAGGA
rnacentral:misc_RNA from 1 species